GGUAUUGAAAUAAGAUUUUAAUUGAAUGCUAAGAGAAUGGAAUAUCAAAAAACAACUUUCUUAAAAUUAAAAAUUGAAAUUUUUUUAAUUUGUGUAAAAACAAUUAUAAAAAUUAAAGACAAGAAGACCCUAAGAAUUUUUAAAAUUUAAAUAAUACAUUUUUUGUUUUAAUUAAAUUUUAACUGGGGCGGUUAAAAAAUAUUAAAAACUUUUUAAUUUAAAAAUGACCCAUUAUUAAUGAAAAUAUGAUUAAAUACUCUAGGGAUAACAGCGUUAUAUUUUUUGAUAGAUCAUAUUGACAAAAAAGUUUGCGACCUCGAUGUUGGAUUAGGAUACUUUUUUAAUGAA
rnacentral:rRNA from 1 species